GGAAGGUCCGGGCGUUUAUCCGGAUUUAUUGGGUUUAAAGGGAGCGUAGGCCGGAGAUUAAGCGUGUUGUGAAAUGUAGACGCUCAACGUCUGCACUGCAGCGCGAACUGGUUUCCUUGAGUACGCACAAAGUGGGCGGAAUUCGUGGUGUAGCGGUGAAAUGCUUAGAUAUCGCGAAGAACUCCGAUUGCGAAGGCAGCUCACUGGAGCGCAACUGACGCUGAAGCUCGAAAGUGCGGGGUAUCGAACAGGAUUAGAUACCCUGGUAGUCCGCACGGUAAACGAUGGAUGCCCCGCUGUUGGUCUGAAUAGGUCAGCGGCCAAGCGAAAGCAUUAAGCAUCCCCACCUGGGAGUACGCCGGCAACGGUG
rnacentral:rRNA from 1 species